rfam:Ovis aries breed Texel chromosome 1, whole genome shotgun sequence.
UCCCUGGUGGCUCAGAUGGUAAAGCGUCUGUCUACAAAGCGGGAGACCCGGGUUCAGUCCCUGGGUUGGGAA